rnacentral:pre_miRNA from 1 species
AAUAAGAUCAUUUUUCAGUUUUUUGAUACAAUGUUUUGACUCUUCGUCUUAUUUAAAUUUUUUUACGAUUAAUAUUUUUAUUCUUACUAGAUGAUAAAACAUAAAUGUUAAUUUAUUCGUGACUAAUUUUUAAAAGUUUUUAUAUAAAUUUUUUAAAUAAAACGAAUGAUCAAACAUUAGACAUGAAAAA